rnacentral:rRNA from 1 species
CGCAGCCGCGGUAAUUCCAGCUCCAAUAGCGUAUAUUAAAGUUGUUGCAGUUAAAAAGCUCGUAGUUGAACUUCAGGCCUGGCUGGACGGUCCGCCCUCCGGGCGAGCACUGUCUGUGGUCGGGUCCUACCUUCUGGCGAAGCGUCAUGGUCUUUACGGGCCGUGGCGGGGAACCAGGACUUUUACUGUGAAAAAAUUAGAGUGUUCAAAGCAGGCAUUUUCGCUUGGAUACAUUAGCAUGGAAUAAUGGAAUAGGACAAUGGUUCUAUUUGUUGGUUUCUAGGACCGUUGUAAUGAUUAAUAGGGAUAGUUGGGGGCAUUAGUAUUCAAUUGUCAGAGGUGGAAUUCUUGGAUUUAUUGAAGACUAACUACUGCGAAAGCAUUUGCCAAGGAUGUUUUCAUUAAUCAAGAACGAAAGUUAGGGGAUCGAAGACGAUCAGAUACCGUCGUAGUCUUAACCAUAAACUAUGCCGACUAGGAAUCGGGCGAUGUUGACAAAAUGACGCGCUCGGCACCUCAU